UACGGAGGGUGCGAGCGUUGUCCGGAAUUAUUGGGCGUAAAGAGCUCGUAGGCGGUGUGUCACGUCGGCCGUGAAAACCUACAGCUUAACUGUGGGCGUGCGGUCGAUACGGGCAUCACUGGAGUUCGGCAGGGGAGACUGGAAUUCCUGGUGUAGCGGUGAAAUGCGCAGAUAUCAGGAGGAACACCGGUGGCGAAGGCGGGUCUCUGGGCCGAUACUGACGCUGAGGAGCGAAAGCGUGGGGAGCGAACAGG
rnacentral:rRNA from 1 species